UCCUCAUAUUAUCAUGAACCCAUCACCAAUAUUGAAUAAAUUCAUAAAUUAUGAAAACUAUUAUGCUAGAACUAGUAACAAGAAAAUGAAUUUCUCCAAAGAGUGAGUAUAAGCCAACAAUUGACAAUCAACUGGCACAUAACGAUACUGAACCAACUAUAGUAAAAUAACUAGAAAAUCCUAUACAUUGACAUCGUUAACCUUACACAAGAGCCCUUCUGGAAAGAUUAAAAGGAAGAGAAGGAACUCGGCAAAUGUUAGCCCCGCCUGUUUACCAAAAACAUCGCCUCUUGAUUAAAUAUAUGAGGUCUAGCCUGCCCAGUGUUUUAAUUCAACGGCCGCGUGAUUUAAGCGCGCGAAGGUAGCAUAAUAAUUUGUUCUUUAAAUGGGGACUUGUAUCAACGGCACCACGAGGGCUAUACUGUCUCCUCCCCCCAAUCAGUGAAACUAAUCUCCCUGUGAAAAAGCAGGGAUAAAAUUAUAAGACGAGAAGACCCCAUGGAGCUUAAAAUACAGCAUUAAAUUUAAUAAACAACAUCAAGAUAAUUAUACACCCUACAUGCUAAUUUUAGGUUGGGGUGACCGCGGAGUAAAAUAAAACCUCCACAACGAAAAGGGGGCAAUACCCUUAUCUAAGAGAUACCUUUCUAAGAACUAUUUAAUAUAACGUCUAAUGACCCGACUAUCGAUCAACGGACCAAGUUACCCUGGGGAUAACAGCGCAAUCCACUUUGAAAGCUCCUAUCGACAAGUGGGCUUACGACCUCGAUGUUGGAUCAGGGUAUCCCAGUGGUGCAGCCGCUACUAAAGG
rnacentral:rRNA from 1 species